AACCUAGCACACCUGCGGUGUGUACCUGCGGAGGGAUCAUUACAGAGUUGCAAAACUCCCCAAACCAUUGUGAACCUUACCUUCAACCGUUGCUUCGGCGGGCGGGCCACAGCGCCCCCCGGGCCCCCCCAGCGGGGCGCCCGCCGGAGGAUACCCAAACUCUUGAUACUUUAUGGCCUCUCUGAGUCUUCUGUACUGAAUAAGUCAAAACUUUUAGCAACGGAUCUCAGAUCGGAAGAG
rnacentral:misc_RNA from 1 species